GACGAACGCUGGCGGCGUGCUUAACACAUGCAAGUCGAACGGAAAGACCCUGCGCUUGUUGGGUGCUCGAGAGGGGAGCGGGGGUGUAACACGUGUGUAAACUGCCCUUGUCUUUGGGAGAACAUCAGGGGACUGGGGCGAAUACCGGGUAGGAGCUCCUGAUGCGUGGUGGGGGUUGGAAAGAUUCGGCGGUUGGGGAUGGACUAGCGGGUUAUCAGCUUGUUGGUGAGGUAGGGGCUUACCAAGGCUAUGACGGGUAGCCGGCCUGAGAGGGUGACCGGCGACAUUGGGACUGAGAGACGCACCAGACUCCUACGGGCGGCAGCAGUGGGGAAUAUUGCACAAUGGGCGGAAGCCUGAUGCAGCAACGCCGCGUGCGGGAUGACGGCCUUCGGGUUGUAAACCGCUUUCGCCUGUGACGAAGCGUGAGUGACGGUAAUGGGUAAAGAAGCACCGGCUAACUACGUG
rnacentral:rRNA from 1 species